UUUAUUUCUGUUUAUUUUCUGUCCUUGAAAUGAGACAGAUAAGUUUUGGGUUAUGUUCGAUAAUAUGCCAAUGACAGGGUAAUUGAAUUAAAAUAUUCUCAUAAUUUACCUAUUUUCAUUUUAUUCCCUGAAUUUGGUGAUAUUCAAAUGGAACAGAUGGAUGGUUACGUAGUGAAUAUUUUCAUUUUCAGAAAGAAUUAUGUGUUGGUAUACCACAAAGAAAUAUUUCUACCGUGAUUUCAUUCCGGAGCCAAUUUUUAACAUAUGUUCUCCAAAUAUUCAGUUGUUUUCAUUUCCAUUAUAAGUUAUCGUUUGCUCGAAAUAAAACCGAAAAAAUUUUCCUGUAAGAUUUAUAGCACUUCUAAAUAGCUCAUCAUGCCUACCUUCUUCAGAGUCCUAACAGACCUCGUCUACAUAGUAUUAACCAUGUACACCAUCAGAACAUGUAUAAACGUCACAUCAGACUACUUUUCACCCCUUCCUGAAGGGCCUAGAGCAACUCGUGUGGACGGUUGGUGGUGUUUGAGUCGCUAUCUCAUUGUAUUUCCUCGUAUGAGGAGAAGCGAUUUUGUGUACCAGAUACUAUCUUUCUGUUUCUGGUUGACGUUCUUCGAAUUGAGAUAUUUUAUGGAAUGGUUUUACGACCUGGUUAGGGCUUGGUAGAAUGAAAGCGAUAUUGUUUCGUGAACAUUUUUUAUAUUAAUCCUACAUUUUAUUUAUCUAAUCAUGAUAUAAACAUGAAUAUUAUAUGAAUUCUUAUUUUUUGUGAAUUGUAUAUAUUCUAAUUAUUUGGACUUUUUCAUUUUCUUCUUAUGGAAAUGAAUUUGUUACUGAUAGUUGAAUUUUAUAUUUAAGAAUUGUGGUUGAAUGACAAUUUGAUUGUGAACCAAAUUAGGUAUAAAAUGAAAUAUCAGAUGAAACUGCAUACCUAUAUAGCUCAUAUCAAAAAAGACUCAGUGUUGUCUUAUUCGUUAUUUUAAAUUAUAAUCGUUUUGUGCCUAUGAGUAUCGGAGUAUAUUUGAUGUAUAUUAUAGUCAACAGAUCUUCAUCACAGAAAAAUUUGCAAAAUAAACAUUAUUGAACGAAAA